GACGCCGCCGCCUCCCGUCCCCUGGCGCCGCCGCCAUGCCCACACGCCGUCGCGCCCGCUCGUCCUCGCUCCCUCGCGCCCUCCCCUUCUCCCCGCCCUCCUCCUGCUCAGCAGGAGGAGUGCGGCUCACCGUCGUGGACUACGGCGCUCCUCCCGCCUCUCCCCAUCGUCCCCCCCGCCUCUCCCUGGAGCCUGCUCCGGCGGCCAGAUCCACGACGCCGUCCUCCUCCACGACCACGCAGCCGCAGCGGUGGAGGAGGAGCCAUGGAUCCCGAACCCUAGCCCGUGGGCAUCAGGCAGGAGGAGGCGACCACGCAGCCAUGGAUCCAUGGGGCGAAGCCAUGGAAGGGCCACCAACAACAGCACCUAUGGUCAUGGAGGUCCGCCAUGGAUGGCCUGGAGCUCGUCAUGGAAGGUCUCCAACUCCUCUGUUGGUUGGUUGGUUUGUUUCCAUUUGUCUGCUGCGGUCCCAGUUGAUGCAUCAUGCGUGCAGGCCUCCUCCCUGUCAUGUUUGUCAACAUCCAUGUUUGCUUGCUGCAACUUAAUAUUGGGACAAGAAAAAACUGCAGAACUUAAUAUUGGAACCUGCUAAGUUGAUACAAUAUAUGAGUAUUUUUUUGGCACAUAUAUUUGUUCUCCUGUGUUCGAGACAUGUAUAUUUUAUCUCAACCGUGUUAUAAUUUAUCUGUUUUAUUCUGUACAAAUUUUAGCCAAUUCCGGUUUUAGUUUAUACUUGCUUCUGAGCUCAAUUUGUAGAGCUAAUGCCUGACUAUCUCUCUGGGUUCUGCGACACUUAAAAUCAAUCAUGCUACCAGCUUAUUUCUAAGACCAAUUUAUAGCUCAGAAUGUACCAAUUCAUUUGUGAUGAUGACGAUGAGAUCAAUUUUGUUUCUGUCAAAAGCUGAGAUUAUUCACUUUGUGAAGAUCAAUAACAAUGAGGAGCAGGUGCCGGCAGCUGAGGCGUGUUUGUCUGGUACAUACGAGCCAAUUUCUCCUGUUAGGGUGGACGACAGUACAUCACUAACCCAGUCAGUGGUUAUGAAUUUCGCUCUCUGAAGGACGUGCAACGUUAUAUUGAAUCAGGAGACACAAGUAAAUGCAAUGUUAGGCCAAAGAAGAGAACUGCCCAGGAUGCUUGUAUUACACAGAAUCAAGAUUAUGUUGGUCCACUGUCUACGGGUGCUCGUGGUUCUGGUUGGUUCGUCCAGCUAUGUCUUCGGCAUCGCUCUACAGAGAGCCACAACCGCACAAGGAAAUCUAAACAGCCGGCUGGGUAUUGAUAAGAAAUACCAAUUUAAGAGGACCGUGAGAGAGCUCGAGGGAAGAACGUAGUUGAUGACCAUAUUUGGUGCCUUCUGGUGCAAACAGUGGAAGUCUUUAAGUGAGCAUGUAUUCAUGUCGAACUUCUAAGCUAUUGACUCUUUGAUUGCCUGAUCCCCUUCAUCCUUCACUGUAGGGCUUGGCAUAAAGAACACAUAAAUAUAUAUUCAUGUGAAAUUGAAAUUCAGACAACCUUAGAUGAACAUUUUUUCAUGUCAGUGGAUUGAUAGUUGUACUGAAUCUUGCCCUAUGUACAUGCCCACCUUGAAACAUGUUAUCAAUGAAUGUAUAAGUAUA